GAAGAAUUUUUAUUGUUACAUCCUAUCAGGAAUGCAUGGUAUCCACAUGCCAUCACUGCACAUGAAAAUUUUUAUCACUCAUUUAAGGUCCUGUCAGCAUCAGAAUUUUCAUGACUGAAGAAAAAAAAGAAUUUUGGUGAAUGCUGGAUUCACUGGAUUUUCCAACUGUAAAAGCAACCGCAUGUGACUCUAACUCCAUUUCUUAUACUUCUGCCAUAAACACAGUGUUAACUGUUGGCAUUAUA